UCCGGUUUGUCACCGGCAGUCUCCCAUGAGUCCCCGGCAUAACCCGCUGGCAACAUGGGACGAGGGUUGCGCUCGUUGCGCCACUUAAGGCAACACCUCACGGCACGAGCUGACGACAGCCAUGCACCACCUGUGCAGGCUCCGAAGAGCGCCCGCUUUCACGGGUUCUACCCUGCAUGUCAAGCCCAGGUAAGGUUCUUCGCGUCGCAUCGAAUUAAACCACAUGCUCCGCUGCUUGUGCGGGUCCCCGUCAAUUCCUUUGAGUUUUAACCUUGCGGUCGUAAUCCCCAGGCGGGGUGCUUAAUGCGUUAGCUACGGCACGGAGGGAGUGGAUAACCCCCCACACCUAGCACCCAUCGUUUACGGCGUGGACUAC
rnacentral:misc_RNA from 1 species